rnacentral:rRNA from 1 species
ACGGGUGAGUAAUGUCUGGGGAUCUGCCCGAUAGAGGGGGAUAACCACUGGAAACGGUGGCUAAUACCGCAUAACGUCGCAAGACCAAAGAGGGGGACCUUCGGGCCUCUCACUAUCGGAUGAACCCAGAUGGGAUUAGCUAGUAGGCGGGGUAACGGCCCACCUAGGCGACGAUCCCUAGCUGGUCUGAGAGGAUGACCAGCCACACUGGAACUGAGACACGGUCCAGACUCCUACGGGAGGCAGCAGUGGGGAAUAUUGCACAAUGGGCGCAAGCCUGAUGCAGCCAUGCCGCGUGUAUGAAGAAGGCCUUCGGGUUGUAAAGUACUUUCAGCGGGGAGGAAGGCGAUAAGGUUAAUAACCUUGUCGAUUGACGUUACCCGCAGAAGAAGCACCGGCUAACUCCGUGCCAGCAGCCGCGGUAAUACGGAGGGUGCAAGCGUUAAUCGGAAUUACUGGGCGUAAAGCGCACGCAGGCGGUCUGUUAAGUCAGAUGUGAAAUCCCCGGGCUUAACCUGGGAACUGCAUUUGAAACUGGCAGGCUUGAGUCUCGUAGAGGGGGGUAGAAUUCCAGGUGUAGC